rnacentral:rRNA from 1 species
UACAGAGGUGGCAAGCGUUGUUCGGAAUUACUGGGCGUAAAGGGCGCGUAGGCGGCCUUCUAAGUCAGACGUGAAAUCCCCCGGCUUAACCUGGGAACUGCGUCUGAUACUGGGAGGCUUGAGUAUGGGAGAGGGAUGUAGAAUUCCAGGUGUAGCGGUGAAAUGCGUAGAUAUCAAGCGGAACACCGGUGGCGAAGGCGGCCUUCUGGACAGUGACUGACGCUGAGGAGCGAAAGCGUGGGGAGCGAACAGG